rnacentral:sRNA from 1 species
AUCACUAUCAGUGACCCCUGAGGAGCGUCAGCCAUGGUACCGUCAUAGCUGCUAGUGUGACUGAAGGCAGUGUCCCUGGCCCCAGC